GAUGAACGCUGGCGGCGUGCCUAAUACAUGCAAGUCGAGCGAACGGACGAGAGGCUUGCUUCUCUGAUGUUAGCGGCGGACGGGUGAGUAACACGUGGAUAACCUACCUAUAAGACUGGGAUAACUUCGGGAAACCGGAGCUAAUACCGGAUAAUAUUUUGAACCGCAUGGUUCAAAAGUGAAAGACGGUCUUGCUGUCACUUAUAGAUGGAUCCGCGCUGCAUUAGCUAGUUGGUAAGGUAACGGCUUACCAAGGCAACGAUGCAUAGCCGACCUGAGAGGGUGAUCGGCCACACUGGAACUGAGACACGGUCCAGACUCCUACGGGAGGCAGCAGUAGGGAAUCUUCCGCAAUGGGCGAAAGCCUGACGGAGCAACGCCGCGUGAGUGAUGAAGGUCUUCGGAUCGUAAAACUCUGUUAUUAGGGAAGAACAUAUGUGUAAGUAACUGUGCACAUCUUGACGGUACCUAAUCAGAAGGCCACGGCUAACUACGUG
rnacentral:rRNA from 1 species